UACGUAGGGGGCGAGCGUUGUCCGGAUUUAUUGGGCGUAAAGAGCGUGUAGGCGGCCAGGUAGGUCUGCUGUGAAAACUCGAGGCUCAACCUCGAGACGUCGGCGGAAACCAUCUGGCUAGAGUCCGGAAGAGGAGAGUGGAAUUCCAGGUGUAGCGGUGAAAUGCGCAGAUAUCAGGAAGAACACCUAUGGCGAAGGCAAUCCCCUGGGCCUGCACUGACGCUCAUGCACGAAAGCGUGGGGAGCAAACAGG
rnacentral:rRNA from 1 species